CCCGCAACGAGCGCAACCCUUGUCUAUUAUUGCUAUGAUACUAAGGUAUCAGAAAUUAUAGAGACUGCCGGUGACAAGCCGGAGGAAGGUGAGGAUGACGUCAAGUCGGCAUGCCCCUUAUGUCCUGGGCGACACACGUGCUACAAUGGCCGAGACAAUGAGAUGCUACUUCGUGAGAAUACGCUAACCUCAAAAACUCGGUCUUAAUUCGGAUUGCAGGCUGCAACUCGCCUGCAUGAAGCUGGAAUCGCUAGUAAUCGCCGGUCAGCCAUACGGCGGUGAAUACGUUCCCGGGCCUU
rnacentral:rRNA from 16 species